CAUGCCGCGUGUGUGAGAAGGCCUUCGGGUUGUAAAGCACUUUUGUCCGGAAAGAAAACCUCGUGGUUAAUACCCGUGGGGGAUGACGGUACCGGAAGAAUAAGCACCGGCUAACUACGUGCCAGCAGCCGCGGUAAUACGUAGGGUGCAAGCGUUAAUCGGAAUUACUGGGCGUAAAGCGUGCGCAGGCGGUUCGCUAAGACAGAUGUGAAAUCCCCGGGCUUAACCUGGGAACUGCAUUUGUGACUGGCGGGCUAGAGUAUGGCAGAGGGGGGUAGAAUUCCACGUGUAGCAGUGAAAUGCGUAGAGAUGUGGAGGAAUACCGAUGGCGAAGGCAGCCCCCUGGGCCAAUACUGACGCUCAUGCACGAAAGCGUGGGGAGCAAACA
rnacentral:rRNA from 1 species